rnacentral:lncRNA from 1 species
AUUCUAAACCCUAAACCCUAAGACGAAGUUGAUAAGUAAUUCAAUAUUUUUGAUAAGUUUAUAUUUAUUUCUGUCAAACUUAUCUUUUAAUAUUUUGUUGGUUAGACGUAGGAGAUAAGUUUAAAUCUUGUUCAAUUAUUGCUAUUAGAAUUUUGAUUUAUGCCUAUAUAUAGGCUGCUGUAAAUGUGUGCAAAAUAAUCUACCAUCGAAAUUUAGUCCAAGAUCAUUUAAUAAAGUUUUAGUUUAAUUCGCUGCAAUACUUCUCUUCUUUCAACAAGUGGAAUCAAAACAAAUCAUGCUUCCAAUAUUUUUUAUUAAAAAAAAGUACGUAGCACUUUCCUUACUAAAUAGGAGUGUUAUUAAAAAAGUUAUUGAAAAAAUAAAUGGGGUAGGAGUGUUCAAAAUCAAUAAUUUUUAAUCGUUGAUAUGUGUCGUUUGCAAGUUUAAUGGUGGAGAAGUAUUCAAAUUAAAUGAAAUUUUGAUAAAAAUUUUUUUAUAACAAGAUCAAUAUUUCCAAUCAAAAAUAUUAGUGCUAUAUCAUAACUAUUUGUGAGAUUCUUAUUUUCAACUGUUAAUUUUAAGUCAUUUUGAUCAUUAAGUAAAUGAUAUCGCAAAACCGUAAAAUUUAUUUUCUAAAUAGUUCAAAUACACUAGAUCAAAUCUAACGGAGCUGAUCGUCGUUUCGAAAACUUUAUCAUUAAAAAUAACUUAGGAGCACGAAGACCUCGUGCUCUUAAUAGUACAUAAGUCCUAUUCAUAAAAUAUGAUAAUUUUUUAUAUAUGUAUAAGCUUUUAUGCAAUAACUAGUUAAGGAAUCUUGCGCGAUGCAGUAGGAAGCCAAUAUAAGAGUAAAUUAUUAGAACUAUUAACAUCAUUUUUUUUUCUAUUAUGAAUUAAUGUUUUUAAAUAUUAUUUAUCUCCGUAUUGAAUAAUUAAAAAU